UGGAGUUGUGGUCUGGAAGAAGAAGAACUCUGCCUUCAAACCUGUUCCACCCAAACCCUGUAAGUGAACCUUUAUGAUCCAUAAAUGAUGUUUAAAACCACUACAUUAUUUAUACACAGUGUUUAGUCACUUUGUGAUGGAUGUGAAUGUUUUACAGCCUCUGAAGGAGAUUCUUCAACCAACAACUCUUAGAGUGUGACUUCCUGCUGAACUGAGAGAGAGGAGACUGAACUGAUGGAUGCCUCGUAGGAAUAUUGCCUCAGCUAAUUUAAGGUCAAGAGUGUUCCUGAAAAAAAUUCAGCCUUAUUGAUACUUGGAUGGAACAUUUUGUGACUCGUUCAGCAACUCGUGACUCAUCAUUCUAGUUGUUUAGCUGACAACAGUAUUUUUGUUAACAAUAUUAGGACCCCUGUGACUGAUCAUAGAGAAAUGUGUGUAUGUGUAAGGUUUUAUACUAUUGUAAGACAUUAUAAUCUAAUAAGAAGAUUCCCGUGCCCUGAGAACAGACCCCUCACUGUGCUUCCUCAUGUCUUAUGUGGUAACACCUUCUAUAUCCUGUAUCCAGACGAACAUGCCAGAACCCUUUUGUUUAAUCAGGAGAAUGUAAAUGUAUCUCCUCUCACCUGUCUUUCUCCGUGUCUCUCUAUGACUGACGUGUUAUUGAUUGGUUCUUCUGAUGUUUGGGACACAGCACCGCUUUAAAUGUGCUCUCUUUGCUGAGAAUAAACAGAGAUCUUCAGACAUCAUGCCUGUGUGUGUGUGUGCUUGUCUCUCCCGGUCGAUCGGACCCGGACUGGUAAGUGUAUCAGGGUUCAGUGGACACAGCAAGCUAAAACUCUUAUUCUUCCUCUUUUAAACCUAACAGUAUGUCUUUUCCAUUACAUC